AUUCAGCUGAAGAGUUCCAAAUGGAGUGAAACGUGAUUCCUGGAU
rnacentral:hammerhead_ribozyme from 1 species